AACCUGCGGAAGGAUCAUUACAGAGUUAGGGUCUUCCCCCCGGGGAAAGCGCCCGAACCUCCCACCCUUUGUCGUCGAACAAAACUUGUUGCUUUGGCGGGACCGCCCCCUGGGCUGCCGGGCUCGCGCCGGGUAUGCGCCCGCCAGAGUCAAACACAACUCUUAUUGAAAAAACAGUCUGAGCAAACAAUUGAUAAAUCAAUUAAAACUUUCAACAACGGAUCUCUUGGUUCUGGCAUCGAUGAAGGAACGCAGCGAAAUGCGAUAAGUAAUGUGAAUUGCAGAAUUCAGUGAAUCAUCGAAUCUUUGAACGCACAUUGCGCCCCUUGGUAUUCCGGGGGGCAUGCCUGUUCGAGCGUCAUUACACCAAUCAAGCCUCGCUUGGUAUUGGGCCUCUUCGUCCCCGGCCGAAAACCUCCCCUCACGGGGGGCACUCAGGCGGGGGGCGGGCCUCAAACACUUCGGCGGAGUCUCACCGGCUUUGGGCGUAGCAGAAUAUGUUAAACGUCUACGGGCUCGGGGGGUCUCCCGCCGUCAAGCGGACGCCGUCCCUCGCGGCGGCUCCAUCCUUUCAAGGUUGACCUCGGAUCAGGUAGGAAUACCCGCUGAACUUAAGCAUAUCAAUAAGCG
rnacentral:rRNA from 1 species